rnacentral:misc_RNA from 1 species
CUAAGGAUGAUCCUUCAGCGAGCUCACGCUCACUAUCGGAUCGUUUUAGAAACAUCAGUGGCCAACAGAUCGCCAGAUCGUUGAGCUGCAUUGGCGGGAUUUCGCCGUCUUCGUUUCUCUUUCUUCGCGGACGAACACGCGCCGGGGCUGCGCUGUGCGAUUGCAUCUGCGCUGGUCGCCGAUGCAUGCACGCAAGACCCUAGUCCUGAUAAGGAUAGCGUUAGGGGCUUGUAGCUCAGUUGGUUAGAGCGCGCGCUUGAUAAGCGUGAGGUCGGAAGUUCAAGUCUUCCCAGGCCCACCACGCUUCGCCGUCGGCUUCGCGUGGCACUGCCACGCGAGACGAUGAAGCGAAGCGUGUCCGGCAUAGCCCGAAAGGGCGACGUCGGACUUAGAGAGGCGCUUCGUCUUCUGGUUUCUUGACCGUCGUCCGCGAAACAUCACUUCGCAUUCACUAGUCUGGAUAGACAGUGAACUGCGUGUUUUCUGACAUCGUAAAGAGGAGAUCGAUCCGAGUUGGGUCGUGCGGCAUAUCGUUGCGCGGGCCUUCAUUAUCUCCGGAUCAUUUCGGCGCUCGCUUUCAGCCGUGAGGUUGAAUGCGGGUUGUAAAUGAUCCUUUUAGCGAAGCUUGACCGCCUCGCUAUCGGAACGAUCUUACGAAGCAAGCUGGUCUUUCUAGUCAAUGUCCGGCUGUACGUAGCAUUCAUCGAGGGUGCGCGCCGCAAGGCAAUCGUACAGACAACAUUCUGCCGAGUGUGUGGACAUUGAUAAUGAGAGCAAUCAAGUGCCUUAAGGGUGUUCGGUGGAUGCCUUGGCGCUGAGAGGCGAUGAAGGACGUGCUACGCUGCGAUAAGCCGUGGGGAGCUGCGAAGAAGCUUUGAUCCGCGGAUUU